GUCCCAUGGUCACUGGAGAACGCUCUACUCCCAGUUGCUCUAGCAGGAUCCGGAUCUAAGGAUCAGGGGGCAGAUGAAUGCAAUACAAACUAUCAGGAGCAUAAGAAGAUGUAGCCAAAAAUCUCUGCUACAUGAAGAAUGGGAACUAAGAAACAUCAAACAGUGCAUAUACAAAGAAAUGACCUUGAAAGCUUCAGAGUUGGCUUCAAAUGUAAUUCAAUACAUAGAGGAGAUCUGAGAAGAAUAAAUGUUAUUGAAUAUCACAAAUAGUGUAGAAAUGAAAAAUCCCUACAGAUUAUUUU